CUUCUAAACUCUAAAUUCUGAUUCCAAAUUCCCAAUGAACUUGUCUCGCUUUCUCUCUCUCUCUCUCUCAAAUGGUCAAAUCUAAUUCCACCUCCUCUAUUUUCCACCCAAUACGGCCAACGAAUAUGCGGCGACCACCUUCAUCUUUGAGAUACGGAGGAAAUCCGGAAGAGUAGACAGAUUGAUUGCUAAUUGGUUUUGACGCCUGAAGCUAGGGUUUUAACGCCAGGAAGAUGGACCUCCUCCAUUUUUAUUCUCAGCAGUUGAAGUCGAUUCCCAAUUGCAGUUUUUCUUCCUUGUUGUUGUAUCUCUCUUUGUUGCUCUUCUUCUUUGUCUCUUUCCAAUUCUAAAGACUCUAUCACAUUCUCAAAGGAAUAUGUUUCAGGUCACUUUGCCAAAAGUGAAUAAAUUGGUUUUCACUGGCUGGAUUUGCUUCUCCAUGUAAUUUUUAUCAUCGGUGAACUAAUUUUAGCUUUGAGAGAACUUACCCAACAAUUUUGCUAGCUAUUCUGGUUCAAAAGCAAGAUGGACAAUGGAAUCGCCUGAGAAACUCAAUACAGUCGUUGUCUUGAAACAACGAGAUAGCAGCCGUUGGCAGAAGAUUAAUACAUGCAAUGGCUUCUAGUUGGCUAUAUCCCAAAUAAGCUUAUAAACCCAGGAUGCAGACUGAAGACUGGACUGGCUGGUAAAUUAUUGCUUAUUUUUUCAUAGAUGGUUUGACAAAAUUUUUGAAGUUUUAUAACAGGAAAUUCACUGUCUUAUGUCUUCAUUUGCAUGCUACUUCCCAAAUAAGCUUAUAAACUCAAAAUUUUUGAAGUUUUUAUGCAAAAUGGUCUGUUUUCUUACGAGAAAGUUUGGGGAUCUAUUUAGUAGAAGACAAGUGCUAAACUUCUCCUUCAAUUAUGUCCCUUUAACCCUGUGAUCUAUAGCAAUUCAUGCGCUCAAUAUAUCUAUAAGGGUACCACUACUAAUGGUAGGAAGGUUGUGCUCAAUAAGCUUGGGUUGUCCAGAUGCAAGGUAAUUAAGCUUAUAUGAUCUGCAAUUCAUUUUUAUUUAUAUGCACCUUUUAUCAUAUUUAUGGAGAAUGAUUAAAAGUUGUUCAAUGUUGGCAGUUGUUAGGUUCUAAAUGUGGAAUUUUAUGGUGUUUUUGCCUUCUGCUGUUUUGGAAUUUAAAGUGAUUAAGGUGAAAUAAUGGGGAUCUAGCAUCAAAUUUUGAAUAGCAUUCAACUUUAAUUCCAAAGUUUCUGAUUUCGGCUAAUUUUCUAAUUCCCAGCAAUAGUGUACUUCAUAUCAUUAGCUUUUGACGAUGCAUUUAUUAUCUCAUGGAUUUUGGCUUCAUUUUUUUGCUAUUUAUACUUUAUUUUGAGUGAAAUUUUCAGAAAAAAAAGGUUUUUUUUAUUUAAAUAAUGGCUACUCUGCCAUUCAUUGUCAUAGACCCAUUGUCAUGCCUACUCUGCCAUUCAUGGUCACAGAGUUACUUCCUAAAGCAGCUCAAAUUCCGUUAGUCCAUUGGUCAUGCUCCCAUAUCCUGAACCCCUAAUGCCAGUGUGUGUUGGUUACCCCAUCUCCAACGAUGCAGUUAUUACUAGUUAGACCCAUAUUAUUGCUUGUUGAUAUUAAUUUCAUGUCAUUCGCCAUUAUUGAUGCCCAUGAUACCACCACCAAGCUGAUUUGACAUCAUCGUUUCAUGUAUGAUUUUUUGAACAGAACUCUGGGAAUCAUUUGCAUCUGUGUCACUAGAAAGUGCUGGCUGCUGCAGUGCAAUGUUCGGUGAACUAGCAGAAUUCGUGUGCAUUCCAGUCGGUAAGCCACCAAGUGAAGUCUGUGGAGGAUCGUUAGAUGAUGAUGCCGUUGGAGACUGGAAAGGAGAAGGAUUGAGUUGCGGUUGUAGUAAGGUACUCAAGGAACACUAGGAGAUGGCAUCUGAACACCAUUUCCUCCGUAAGGACCAUUUGUGCUACUCUUCGGGUUUUUGCUGUCUCGAGUUCAUUGAGUUUUGAUGACGCAGCCCAGUUAUAUAUGGCACUAGUAGAGGAAGUUGCAGGAGCCGAAUUCAGUGGAUUAUUUACAUUUGCCAUGCCAUUUCUGGAAGGAAGUUGCAAUUAUUACGAAAAAUGUUUCAAUGUGGCCUAACCAUAUUGAAACGUGAUGACUUUUGCAAAAUUGGUUGGAAUUAGGAACUACUUGUACCUUUUAGAAUUAGGUUAUGAUGAUGAAUUUGGAAAUUUGCAGUGAUUGUUUCCAUUUAGAUAGUGAAUUGAAUUACUUACUUGAAAGGGAAAUGUACUACAAGCAUGAAAAAUAAUUCAUAAAAUAUGCAAAAAGUGUAAAUCACUGCAGUGCA